rnacentral:antisense_RNA from 1 species
AAAACUGAGGAAGAAAACUGACAGGGUUUUCAAGGGAAUUUCCAGGUCACCCAGAGAACUCGCCUGGCCUUGUUCUACUUCCUACAAGUCUCUGAGCACUUCAUGCUUUACUAGAAUCUUGUAAAUACAAAAAAAAAAAAAAAAAAAGAAAAAGACACAACAAGUCAACAAUGUUUAGCAUCACUAAAAAGAAUGUACUUUGGUGAAAGGUAGAAAUUGGAAAAAUAAAGCUCAGGACAACCUUAAAGUUUUUCUCUAUUCAUGCUACCCUCUUUUUUUUUGGUAACCACAGUUAAUUAAGAGUUAUAAGCAUAAAACAGUGUUUCUUUCAAGUGGCAUGCUUAUGUGGGGGAAGAAAAAAUGAAAGGGAGGCAGCUCAGUGAAGGAGCAUAUUGCUAAUCAAAAAUGAAAUUUCUCCAUCAGGCUGAGAAUCUAUGAUGGCCGGUGAGCUGGUAUGAUUCAUACAAAGUUCUAUGUCUCACUAGUCUCUCCAAAUCAUGGUUCUUCACGAGGGAGCCCUUCUUCAGGCUGUUCUUCCGCUCCACGUAGUUGGACGGCACAUAGCCCGUCCUGUUGGCCGCGUUCCUCACCCGCCACCACGUCUUGGAGUCAUCCAGCAACCACAGCCGCUCGUUCUUCUUGAUGUCCAGCUCCUGGUCCUGCUGGGCGGUGUAGUCCCACUUGGCUAUCACAAUAACUUCUUCUGUCAUCUUUCAUGGAGUCCUUCUGCCAGCAAAACAUUUGGAGAUGCUCAUUAGAGAACUACCCGGACACUUCAUCCUUUGCACCAACU